AACGAACGUUAGCGGCGCGCCUAAGACAUGCAAGUCGAGUGAGAAAGGGAUUCGUCCCCGGUAAAGCGGCGCACGGGUGAGUAACACGUAGGUCAUCAACCCUCGAGUGGUGGAUAACUCUCCGAAAGGAGAGCUAAUACAGCAUGAUGCUAGCCAUAGCCAAAGCGGGCCUCUUCAUGAAAGCUCGCGCUAGAGGAUGAGCCUGUGGCCCGUCAGGUAGUUGGCGGAGUAACAGCCCACCAAGCCAAAGACGGGGAGCUGGUCUGAUAGGAUGAACCGCCACACAGGGACUGAGACACGGACCAGACGCCUACGGGAGGCAGCAGUCGGGAAUCUGCCGCGAAGAGCGAAAGCCUGACGGAGCGACGCCGCGUGAGUGAUGAAGGGCUUCGGGUUGUAAAGCUCUGUGGGGAGAGAAGAAUAAGUGCAGGCUAAGACUCUGCAUGAUGACGGUAGCUCCUUAGCAAGCACCGGCUAACUCUGUGCCAGCAGCAGCCGCA
rnacentral:rRNA from 1 species